rnacentral:rRNA from 1 species
GAUGAACGCUGGCGGCGUGCCUAAUACAUGCAAGUCGAGCGAACAGACGAGGAGCUUGCUCCUCUGACGUUAGCGGCGGACGGGUGAGUAACACGUGGAUAACCUACCUAUAAGACUGGGAUAACUUCGGGAAACCGGAGCUAAUACCGGAUAAUAUAUUGAACCGCAUGGUUCAAUAGUGAAAGACGGUUUUGCUGUCACUUAUAGAUGGAUCCGCGCCGCAUUAGCUAGUUGGUAAGGUAACGGCUUACCAAGGCAACGAUGCGUAGCCGACCUGAGAGGGUCGUCGGCCACACUGGAACUGAGACACGGUCCAGACUCCUACGGGAGGCAGCAGUAGGGAAUCUUCCGCAAUGGGCGAAAGCCUGACGGAGCAACGCCGCGUGAGUGAUGAAGGUCUUCGGAUCGUAAAACUCUGUUAUUAGGGAAGAACAAAUGUGUAAGUAACUAUGCACGUCUUGACGGUACCUAAUCAGAAAGCCACGGCUAACUACGUG